rnacentral:misc_RNA from 1 species
CGCGUAGGAGCUGCAUCAGUAAAGUCACAGACACUGUACAAAGUGAAAACCCAAAAUUAAUCGGAAGUUUACGAGAGACGCCCUCCAAAAGACCCAGAGAUUCUUCCUGCGACUCUUGCGCACGUACCUAUAUAUAAGCGAGAGCGAGUGCGAGUGCGAGUGAGAGUAUCUGCUCUUCUUUCUGACACAGAUAGAGAAAGAGAGAGCAAUGGCGACCCCUCCAAAGCCAUGGAAGGCGGAGUACGCGAAGUCCGGCC